AAUUUCAAAUAUACCUCGCGUCCGUUCCUCUUUUACAAGCUUCGCGUCUGUUCCUCUUCUCUCGGUCACUCAUCUUUCUUCUUCUCUCCUCUUCCCUUUUUCCUCUCUCCACCUUCUCCCCGAUGCCACCACCACCCCAUCUCCACAUUCCUCCACCGCUCCCAUUCUCCUUUCCUCCAGUGGAACCGUUAAAAACCCUAACCCCCAAAAAACACAAACCCCCUACUGCCUGGACUUCUCGGUGUUCGUAACCUAGUAGGAAACUUGCAUUGUGUCACGAGCAAGCUGAGACCAACUUGCAUUGUGUUUAACGAGAGGCGGAUCAACGCUCUAAAGGGCGUGUGCAGAAUGUCGUCACACACGUCGUUCGAGGUUCUGGUGGCCCACAUGUGGAGGAGUUGGGCGAGGGUGAUGGGGUUUCUUCCUAAAAACCAGACGCUGAAGCUUUUGUUUAGCGUGAACAUGCGGAAGCGCGUGAAUCCAGGACUACCAGAGGGGUAUUGUGGGAAUGCGCACAAACAAGCGCGUGGGAGUUGGGGGAGAGAGGGGUCAGGUACGGGUCGGGUCUGGUGAAGCGUGCGAAGGAGAGGGUGGACAAUGUGCACGUGUGGAGGGUGGUUGAGUUGGUGUCCAAGUUGAGGGUGAGUCCUAACUCGGUGGGGGUGUUGAUUCUGUCGCAGUGGUCGAGGCUGGGUCUUGAGAGGGUUGAACUUAGGAUGGGGAAGCCUCUGCAUGUGGGGCCCAUAUGUUGUGAUAGGUACUGCUUGUUUCUUCCGGUGACCGGUGAACGGCCGAGUGUGAAGGUCAUGGUGGCUGUCCCCACCAUCACCAUCGACAACUUUCACCGUUUCCUUCGGGAAUCGAAUUUAUGACCUAACCACAACCUACCAGGUUACGUCACGUUGACCUUUGUAAUUAUUCUUCACUAGUUCCUGUGCUUUUUCUUCAACAAAAAUAAAAUAAAAAACAAACCAAUUAUUCCUACCAAAAACCUGAUCAGGUGGUUGUGACCAUAUUUGCAAAGAAAAUCCCAAAGGAAAGCAUUACUGUUGACUUCGGUGAACAAAUUCUAAGUGUUAGUAUUAAUAUCCCUGGAGAAGAUGUAUAUGUUUUUUAGCCUUGCUUAGUUGGAAAGUGGAACUACUGCUGCUGCAUUACAAGCAGGCACACCACAGGUUGGAGUAGAGCUUUGAGUUCUAUCCUUGAUGUCAAUGUGCUUGAUUCAAGAAGAUUAAGCAUAUGCAUGGGGAGCCUACCUAAGACUAACAAUGGGAGCCUACCUAAUUUGACCUUGAAGCCACAAUCAUGGACAAAGGUAAGUAGCAUUAUAUUUGGGGAUCUGCCUGCGGGUACUGGCUUCUCUUAUCCCAAAACAGAACGUGCUGUUCAGCAAAGUAGCUCUAAGCUUGUUCGCCAUGCUCAUCAAUUUAUUAGGAAGAGGUCGGAAGAGGGCUUGUGUGACUUACUGCAUAACCUACAUUUUGAGUUGCAUCACCAAGCAUUCUCCUCAAUACAAAGUCCUGAUGUUGGGCCGCAUUUUGGGAGGUAUUGCCACUUCACUUCUGUUUUCAUCAUUUGAAUCAUGGCUUGUUGCUGAGCACUUCAAGAGGGGCUUUGAUCAACAAUGGUUGUCAUUAACAUUCUCUAAGGCUAUAUUUCUUGGAAAUGGUCUUGUUGCUAUUUUGUCUGGGCUGUUUGGAAAUGUACUUGUUGAUACAUUGGCUCUUGGACUUGUGGCCCCCUUUGAUGCUGCUUCAUGUUUUCUUGCUAUUGGUGUGGCCAUUGCUUUGGGUAGAUUUCUUACCUUAAAAUUUAUUUUUCUCAUUUUAAUACUGCAAAUUUGAACUUUGAAACAUUUUAUGCAUGAUGUUAAUCUUUUUAACAUUUAAUUGUGCCCCAUUUAGAUGUUGUUUUUGUCAUUUUAUAAUAAUGUUUUUAUUAUUUUAAUUUUUUUUUUCAAAAUAACAUUCUAAAAUGGUCGUUAGCUAAUGACCGUCUUAGAAAGUUACCUUUCUAAGACAGUUGUUAGCUAAUGAUUGUCUUAGAAAGGUACUUUCUAAGAUGAUUAAGAGCAUAACCUAUCCAUACGUAGAGAUAAUUGUUAGGUAUGGACGAUAACUCUUUGCAUCUAUCUUGGAUUUUGAUGAAUAACAAUAAGUAUAAAUUAUUGAUGUUCUAAUGAUUUUUGAAAAGUGAACAAGAUCAAAUGCUAAAGGACUUAACAAUACUCUGUAUCAUCCAUACUCCAAGAGAAAUUCCUCUCUUUACUAUCUAUCCAGUGCCUAACUAGCUAAAAUCAAAAGGCAUCCACUCAUUAUAAUAAUCAGUGUUAUACAUUGCGUUUUGGUUAUCCCACACAUCCGACUAGUAAGAAACAAACAUAUCUUUUAAAAUGUCUAUGAUAGCCGAAAAAUGGAAGUAUGCACAUUCUAUCUUAUACAAAUUCAUUUUGCUUUUCUUUAUUUUGAAUUACUAACAUUUGAAAUUAAGGAAAUGACAAAAUAGAAUGUAUUCAUAGAGAAUUCCUUAAAGAUCGUUUUUGCCAAGGAUAAGGAGCACAUGGUAUUAUCAGUACUAUCGUACAAUUCCUCGUAAAUCAGAGCAUGCCACUUAGUCAUAUCUUCCAAUGUGAGACAAUAGUUUUUUCAAGGAAUUGACAUUGAUCCUAUAAUGUAUCCUUCACUGAAGUAUAUAAAAGGUUGUCUCUACCCAAAAAUUGAAGUGAGAAGUGGUAUAGUUUUCAUUUGUUUAUUCUUUGCUAAGCAAAGUAAUCUUGUAUUUGAGGUUUAUUGUUUACUCAUUCAUUGAGUGUUAUUGAAUACUUGUAUUCAUUCAAACUAUUGUUUAUGAAAGUCGAGAGUGGCUUAGUGUUAAAUAAUACUUGGUUAUUUAGAUUCACGAGGAGUCUAAGAAAAUGUUAGAAGUGGUAUUAAUAAUACUUGUAAAGCCAAGAGUGACAAGUUAAAAUAUUUGUUUUGUAAGCAAGUUUUGAUUAGUGAAACCCUUUACAAGUACAGAA